GAAAUGCGAUAAGUAAUGUGAAUUGCAGAAUUCAGUGAAUCAUCGAAUCUUUGAACGCACAUUGCGCCCGCCAGCAUUCUGGCGGGCAUGCCUGUUCGAGCGUCAUUUCAACCAUCAAGCCCCCGGCUUGUGUUGGGGACCUGCGGCUGCCCGCAGGCCCUGAAAACCAGUGGCGGGCUCGCUGUCACACCGAGCGUAGUAGCAUACAUCUCGCUCAGGGCGUGCUGCGGGUUCCGGCCGUUAAAAGCCUUUUUUACCCAAGGUUGACCUCGGAUCAGGUAGGAAGACCCGCUGAACUUAAGC
rnacentral:misc_RNA from 1 species